AACGUAGGAGGCGAGCGUUAUCCGGAUUUACUGGGUGUAAAGCGCGUGCAGGCGGUCGUGUAAGUGGUGCGUGAAAGCUCCCGGCUCAACCGGGAGAGGACGUGCCAAACUGCAGGGCUAGAGGCAGGUAGAGGCGUGUGGAAUUCCGGGUGUAGUGGUGAAAUGCGUAGAGAUCCGGAGGAACACCAGUGGCGAAGGCGACACGCUGGGCCUGGCCUGACGCUCAGACGCGAAAGCAUGGGGAGCGAACGGGAUUAGAAACCCUAGUAGUCC
rnacentral:rRNA from 1 species